AAAGUACUCCCUCCGUCCCAAAAUUCUUGUCUUAGAUUUGUCUAGAUACAGAUGUUUCAAGUCACAUUUUAGUAUUAGAUACAUCCGUAUCUAGACAAAUCUAAGACAAGAAAUUUGGGACAGAGGGAGUAGUUG
rnacentral:pre_miRNA from 1 species